CUAUCCCCUCAACAAAUGCUUAGAGCGCCAGAUCAACUGACCUUACUUCCUCAGUGGAAAUCGAGUCACUAUGAUGUGGUGGUUGGCGUGCUGUCUGCUCGCAAUAACCAUGAACUUCGCAACGUUAUAAGAAGCACGUGGCUGAAGCACUCACUACAGCAUCCAGCGCUGAGCCAGCGUGUGCUUGUGAAGUUCGUAAUAGGUGCUCGUGGCUGCCAAGUGCCUGUGGAAGACAGGGAGGAUCCUUACUCCUGCAGACUCCUGAACAUCACCAACCCAGUUUUGAAUCAGGAAAUUGAAGCAUUCAGUCUUUCCGAAGACACUUCAUCAGAGCUCUCCGAGGACCGAGUCGUCAGCGUGAGCUUCCGCGUUCUCUAUCCAAUCGUCAUUACCAGUCUCGGGGUGUUUUAUGACGCCAGCGAUGGGGGCUUCCAGAGGAACAUCACUGUCAAGCUUUACCAGGCAGAUCAGGAGGAGGCCCUCUUCGUCGCUCGCUUCAGCCCUCCGAGCUGUGGGGUGCAGGUGAACAAGCUGUGGUACAAGCCCGUGGAGCAGUUCAUCUUACCAGAGAGCUUUGAAGGUACGAUCGUGUGGGAGAGCCAAGACCUCCAAGGCCUGGUGUCCAGGAACCUCCACAGGGUGGCAGUAAAUGACGGAGGAGGGGUUCUCAGAGUCCUUACGGCUGGGGAGGGGGCGUUGCCCCAUGAAUUCACGGAAGGUGCGGAGGGAGUCGCAGGCGGUUUUAUUUUCACUAUUCAGGGUGACAAUACUGAGGCCCAGAAACGUGCCAUGUGUCCCGUACCUCGCAGACCAUGGCGGGGGUGGAAAUCAAAUACAGAAGGUGACGCUCUCUUAAAAAACCUUCAUUCUCGCCCCCGAAGACUCCUUGACCACAUAAGUAAUCUUCAGGAAGAGGACGCCUUGCUGAAGGAGGAAAGCCGCCUCCAUGGUGACAUUGUCUUCGUGGACGUCAUCGACACUUACCGGAACGUCCCUGCGAAGUUACUGAACUUCUAUCGAUGGACCGUGGAAACAACCGAUUUCGAUUUGUUGCUGAAGACAGAUGAUGACUGUUACAUAGACUUAGAAGCCGUUUUUAACAGAAUUGCCCUCAAGAAUCUGGACGGGCCUAACUUUUGGUGGGGAAAUUUCAGGCUGAACUGGGCGGUUGACCGAACUGGGAAGUGGCAGGAGCUGGAGUACCCCAGCCCCGUGUACCCCGCCUUUGCGUGCGGGUCGGGGUAUGUGAUCUCCAAGGACAUUGUCCACUGGCUGGCCAGCAACUCGGGGCGCUUGAAGACCUACCAGGGUGAAGAUGUGAGCAUGGGCAUCUGGAUGGCGGCCAUUGGACCUAAACGGUACCAGGAAACUCCCCAGCUCACGGGGCUCCCGGGGCAGCACCGUGAGCACUCCCUCCAACCAGCUGCUCUUGCACCGCGGCUUGGCCGCCUUCAGCAGCGAACGACGGCCUGUGGCUGUGCGAGAAGACGUGCGAGCCGGGGAUGCUGUCGUCCCCGCAGUACUCCCCGCGGGAGCUGGCCGCGCUGUGGGAGCUGAAGGAGUCGGGCGGGGACCCCUGCCAGUGCGCGGCCAGAAUAAAACUGGCCUGUUUGUGUGUGUAUGUUGAGUGACGACACUUAGAGAUACACGUCAUGGCAGUUAACCUCACUUGCUCUGCUGUGUGAACACGUGACAGGCAGCCCUGCCCUUUCAGAAGCUGUUGGGGACCAGCUCUCAUCCUGGGACGAGGAUUGGCUCUCCCAGAACUGACACAGCCAUCCUCCCACAGCACAUGCCCUCAGAAUGACGGUAAGAACAUCUGCAGAACACAGGACUCGGGCUCUGAAGGUGAAGCGCAGCUGUUACAUGGAUGUCCUCUGGGAACGCUAACCUGCCAGUUCGACCCGGAGGUGACAGGCUCAGGCACACCCGCAGGCGACUGACACGGGGCAGGCGGGGAGGGGCGCCCACGGUCACGGUCACCGUCAGCCAGGGCCACGACCCCUCACCACCGGCCACAGUCCCUGCCCGGGGGUUCAGGGCCUUCCCAGAGUGGCCCCGGAAAGGAAAGCCUGACAGAUCUAAUGAGAACCUUCCCCAGCAGCGUCUGGAGGGGAGGACAGGUGCAGAGACGUCCACAGCCAGCCACCCACACAGGAAGCUCUGGUCCCUCUCACCUGCCCAGCCUCAGGGCUGCCUUUCCUGACAGUCAAGUUUGAAACAAAGUAAGGAAAGGGGAACCGCUAAUUUUAAUUUGUCAUUGUGCAACAGCAGCAAAUUCCACAUCAGAGGAAUAGCAACUGGAUUACUAGUAAGUAAAACGGAGUAAAGCUGGUAACUGGUACUGAACGAUGUUGUCAAUCAUGGGCACAACCCAAGCCUUCCACAGGCAGGACUGUGAUGAGCUUGUGUUACAUGAUAAAAUGAAUUUAAAAAUCCGUGUGCGUUCACGGCACGGACAGGCAAACAGAAAGGUGUUUCACCUGUCAUUUACGGUGUGAUAGGUAUCUUAUUUCUUCAAAUCCUUGCUAUGCUAAAUUUCAGCUGUUUAUAUUUUUGUAUUUAACUGUGAAUCAAGUUUAAUUUUGAGAUUCACGGUGUACUAAAGAUUCAGACUGUAAUUUUUCUUUUCAGUGCAAAUUUAGGGUAAGUUAUGUUGAUCUAAUUUGUUGACAUAAAAGUACUUAUUUUCCAAAUAAAAUGAAUUCAGUUCGAGUAGCAUCAAGAUUUAAAGUUCUGAAGUUUUUUCCAGGAAAACCAGCUCAGUGCUUCCAUGAGGAGUCAGUGCCCAGGAGCUGUCUGUGCAGGGCCCCUGGCUGGUGAGGAGCAGGCGUCAUGCCGCUGAGCCUAAACGCCUGCCCCCUCACAACGCAGCGCCCUGUUUCACGAAGGGAGAGCCAGACAGACCGCGAGCCCAGGACGCCCAUCUCCCUGGCUGAGAAACCCCCAGAGCAACAAUGGGGGAACUAGACAGCCGGGGGCGCAGAGAGGCCUGGAACCCAGGGCUGGGCGCACGCAGCGGGCCACGCAAUCCUAACAGGGCUGCUUCCCAGACAAGCUGAAAACUUACAGGCAACCUGAGCUUUCAGGGGGAGUGGCGUUCGCACGAUCGACUGCAUUUUAGGACGUCAGGGACUAGCGAAAAGCCAUAAGCUGCCUAAGUCCACAUUCACACGCGACGCAGUUUCCCUCCCGGCAACGCGCGCACGGUUCCGAAGCACACAGGGGUGGCAGACUCCUCCUUACCUGGCAGGGGCUUCUCUACGACUUCCUGAUCAAGUUCAUUAGGACAUUUUAUCUUCAGGGCUUGAAAGAAAAAAGGAAGAGAGUGAGCCCUGUACUGUAAGGAUUAAGUUACACGCAGGGACGCUGCUCUGGGGCAGCCGGGUUCGGCGCCCAGGAAGGGCAGGAGGCCUGGCGCUGAACGUGCCUUCUCUUAGGGCUUCGCUGAGGCACCAGCACCAGCACCAGCGUGGCUGGACCGACGUUCUGCCGCCUCCCCUUCUCCCUUUACUACUGCCUUCCGGACAAUUCAUCCAGGUUUUCAAGCGCAAGAACACUCACACAUUUCCAAAUCACAGCUCAGUUCCCUACUUGGCUAGUUCCCGCGUUUAUCACACUAGCCAGUGAGCUGCAAGCAUGGAAUCUUGCUAAAAUGUUGAACCUAAGAACUUAACGUAUCUGAGAAUCCAUCAUUUGUGUAAAUACUGAAGUACUCUUUUCAGGGCGUCCUGAAGAGAAACAAGCCACCCCUGGGUCAUCCCUGUGGCUCAGCCCCUGGGGACUCGGUGCUAAUGGGCUGUGAAUGUGAGGUUCUUACUUAGUAGCUGGUUU